CGCGGGGUGGAGCAGCCUGGUAGCUCGUCGGGCUCAUAACCCGAAGGUCGCCGGUUCAAAUCCGGCCCCCGCAACCA
rnacentral:tRNA from 8 species